GGUGGCACAAAAAAAUAAAAUAAAAAUAAAAAUAAUUGUUACAUACAAUGCACCUGGAAAACUGUACAUUUCCCCUUAAAAGGGUGGUGAAUGGCAUUACGAACAUGACUUUUAGCAUUAAUCAUUAAUUAAUGCGUAAUUAAAGUAAUUAUUCAACAAGAACACUAAUUCAAAUCUUGAAUUAAUCCCACUCUUCAAGCCCACACUUAAAUUUUCCCCAAAUUAUAAUCUUUAUCCGAUAAUUAGAAAAUCUCUAAAAUCAAAACAAUUUCAAUCGUUACACGAUAAAAGAUGAUUAGCAAUUAAUUAAUAACAACAUUAAGACAACAAAAAAAUAAAAAUAAAAAUUAAAAGAUGAUUAACAAUUUAUAUAUAUCUACCUAAAGAAAAUCGUCUAAGCAUCUACUAAUUAAUUUUUUUUUAAUUUUUUUUUUUUUUUUACCGUCAAACGGAGUUAAAAGCGACAUUGGGCAGCUGCGGCGGCGUGAAGGCCAGGAAAAGUAGAAACGCCAUGAUGGCGACGGGGAGGAGGAGGAGCGUGAGCGGCGGCGGCGGAAGCGGCGGCAGAACGAGCGGCAGUAACAAGAGCGACGCCGUGAAGAGGGCCAUCAAGACUAGCCAUCUCUUGCUGAAAUACCUGAACAUCAGAUUAGUAGUGCUAUUCAACCGCCGCGGCGGCGGCGGCGGCGGCGGCCUCCGCCUGAUCUGCAGGUUGUAUUCGGUGGUCUUGUUCACACCAAAUGAUAGCCUUUCUUCAAUAGUACUGUACAUCUUCUUCUUCAACCAUUACACUGAAAUAUGCUUCACAAUAUAUAUAUGAAUAUAUAUAAUAUCUGUAUGUAUAUAUUAUAUGUAUAGGCUUGUGUGUAUAUAUAUAUAUGUUUCAGUAGAGAUGUUUUUAUUUGUGGGGGGUUGGGG
rnacentral:lncRNA from 1 species